UACAUGUGGGGCAAGCGUUGUUCGGAAUUACUGGGCGUAAAGGGCUCGUAGGCGGCCAACUAAGUCAUACGUGAAAUCCCUCAGCUUAACUGGGGAACUGCGUGUGAUACUGGAUGGCUUGGAUUUGGGAGAGGGAUGCGGAAUUCCAGGUGUAGCGGUGAAAUGCGUAGAUAUCUGGAGGAACACCGGUGGCGAAGGCGGCAUCCUGGACCAAUAUUGACGCUGAGGAGCGAAAGCUAGGGGAGCAAACAGG
rnacentral:rRNA from 1 species